ensembl:lncRNA
AUCUCUUUCUGGGAUUGCUCCUCUUAGAGUUUUUCCUGUGAGCAUACAACACAGGACCCUACUGCACAGAAUGGAGAAAUCUUAUGAAGAGAAGACAACUUUUGUCCCAGUUUUGAUGUAAGAACAGCACUCAUAAAACUAUUUGUACCUACAAGCAGUAUACACUCUAAGCAUUCUGCUUGUACUCAGAACUAGAAAAGCCUCAGCAGGUACUUCCCAGAAAUAUGUUCUCCAAAGUGGACUGGCUGUGUCAUGCCAGGCCCUGAAACUCUCCUAGAACCCUGGGAUAAAGCUUGUGAGGACCAGCAAAUCUAAUUUGAAUUUUCUGUACCAUUUAUUUCUAAUUACAACCACAAGGCCUUUUGUCUUAAAAUCCAUAGUAAUUGCACAAACUACAUACUCUUUUAAGUGGGAACUGAAGGUUAAACGGUUAUUUUUUUGUUGGAAUUUCUUUCCAGUAACUCUUUGAAGACAUGCUCCAGCAUUUUCUUCCACUUUCUUCUGAUGACAAUAUACAAUGUUUGCUGUUAACCUUGAUGUCUCUUACAAAUUGUAUUUCAUGUCUGCCUUUGUAUUUCUUAUUAGUUUAUAGUCUUUAUAUUUUAUGUAAAAUAUAUAUUUUCUGUGUAGUCCAUAUUUUCUGUGCAUUUUCUUAUUCUUACACUUGAGAAUUGUGGAUGAAAUGAUUUAUCAGGUAAGCACGUAGAGAAAAAUCUAUGAGAAAUGUUUGAUUCAUAGAAAAUAAAUAAAAAUCAUUCUUUUUUUUCUUGAUCUGAC